GAGUUUGAUCAUGGCUCAGGACGAACGCUGGCGGCGUGCCUAAUACAUGCAAGUCGAGCGAGCGGAACUAACAGAUUUACUUCGGUAAUGACGUUAGGAAAGCGAGCGGCGGAUGGGUGAGUAACACGUGGGGAACCUGCCCCAUAGUCUGGGAUACCACUUGGAAACAGGUGCUAAUACCGGAUAAGAAAGCAGAUCGCAUGAUCAGCUUUUAAAAGGCGGCGUAAGCUGUCGCUAUGGGAUGGCCCCGCGGUGCAUUAGCUAGUUGGUAAGGUAAAGGCUUACCAAGGCGAUGAUGCAUAGCCGAGUUGAGAGACUGAUCGGCCACAUUGGGACUGAGACACGGCCCAAACUCCUACGGGAGGCAGCAGUAGGGAAUCUUCCACAAUGGACGCAAGUCUGAUGGAGCAACGCCGCGUGAGUGAAGAAGGUUUUCGGAUCGUAAAGCUCUGUUGUUGGUGAAGAAGGAUAGAGGUAGUAACUGGCCUUUAUUUGACGGUAAUCAACCAGAAAGUCACGGCUAACUACGUGCCAGCAGCCGCGGUAAUACGUAGGUGGCAAGCGUUGUCCGGAUUUAUUGGGCGUAAAGCGAACGCAGGCGGAAGAAUAAGUCUGAUGUGAAAGCCCUCGGCUUAACCGAGGAACUGCAUCGGAAACUGUUUUUCUUGAGUGCAGAAGAGGAGAGUGGAACUCCAUGUGUAGCGGUGGAAUGCGUAGAUAUAUGGAAGAACACCAGUGGCGAAGGCGGCUCUCUGGUCUGCAACUGACGCUGAGGCUCGAAAGCAUGGGUAGCGAACAGGAUUAGAUACCCUGGUAGUCC
rnacentral:rRNA from 1 species